rnacentral:rRNA from 1 species
CACAAACUCGUAUGUAAAAGAAUGUAGAUCUAGUGCGUAAGCACGAAAUAAACAACUUUCAACAACGGAUCUCUUGGCUCUCGCAUCGAUGAAGAACGCAGCGAAAUGCGAUAAGUAAUGUGAAUUGCAGAAUUCAGUGAAUCAUCGAAUCUUU